rnacentral:rRNA from 1 species
AUUGAACGCUGGCGGCAGGCCUAACACAUGCAAGUCGAACGGUAACAGAAAGUAGCUUGCUACUUUGCUGACGAGUGGCGGACGGGUGAGUAAUGUCUGGUGAUCUGCCUGAUGGAGGGGGAUAACUACUGGAAACGGUAGCUAAUACCGCAUAAUGUCGCAAGACCAAAGCGGGGGACUUUCGGGCCUCGCACCAUCAGAUGAACCCAGAUGGGAUUAGCUAGUAGGUAGGGUAAUGGCUUACCUAGGCGACGAUCCCUAGCUGGUCUGAGAGGAUGACCAGCCACACUGGAACUGAGACACGGUCCAGACUCCUACGGGAGGCAGCAGUGGGGAAUAUUGCACAAUGGGCGCAAGCCUGAUGCAGCCAUGCCGCGUGUAUGAAGAAGGCCUUCGGGUUGUAAAGUACUUUCAGUCAGGAGGAAGGGUGUGAAAUUAAUACUUUCAUGCAUUGACGUUACUGACAGAAGAAGCACCGGCUAACUCCGUGCCAGCCGCCGCAGUAAUAC